CCUACGGGUGGCAGCAGUGGGGAAUAUUGCACAAUGGGCGCAAGCCUGACCCAGCAACGCCGCGUGAAGGAAGAAGGCUUUCGGGUUGUAAACUUCUUUUGACAGGGAAGAGUAGAAGACUGUAUCUGUCGAAUAAGCCACGGCUAACUACGUGCCAGCAGCCGCUGUAAUACGGAGGUGGCAAGCGUUGUCCGGAUUUACUGGGUGUAAAGGGCGUGUAGCCGGGUUGACAAGUCAGAUGUGAAAUCCUGGGGCUUAACCGCAGAACUGCAUUUGAAACUGUUGAUCUAGAGUGCUGGAGAGGCAGGCGGAAUUCCUAGGGUAGCGGUGAAAUGCGUAGAUAUUAGGAGGAACACCAGUGGCGAAGGCGGUCUGCUGGACUGCAACUGACGUUGAGGCGCGAAAGCGUGGGGAGCAAACAGGAUUAGAUACCCUUGUAGUC
rnacentral:rRNA from 1 species